rnacentral:piRNA from 1 species
UUGAGUUUGGCUUUUUGAAUGC